rnacentral:rRNA from 1 species
AUUGAACGCUGGCGGCAUGCCUUACACAUGCAAGUCGAACGGUAACAGGUCUUCGGAUGCUGACGAGUGGCGAACGGGUGAGUAAUACAUCGGAACGUGCCCGAUCGUGGGGGAUAACGAAGCGAAAGCUUUGCUAAUACCGCAUAAGAUCUAAGGAUGAAAGCAGGGGACCGCAAGGCCUUGCGCGAACGGAGCGGCCGAUGGCAGAUUAGGUAGUUGGUGGGAUAAAAGCUUACCAAGCCGACGAUCUGUAGCUGGUCUGAGAGGACGACCUGCCACACUGGGACUGAGACACGGCCCAGACUCCUACGGGAGGCAGCAGUGGGGAAUUUUGGACAAUGGGCGAAAGCCUGAUCCAGCCAUGCCGCGUGCAGGAUGAAGGCCUUCGGGUUGUAAACUGCUUUUGUACGGAACGAAAAGACUCUUUCUAAUAAAGAGGGUCCAUGGCGGUACCGUAAGAAUAAGCACCGGCUAACUACGUGCCAGCCGCCGCGGUAA